rnacentral:misc_RNA from 1 species
GACUGGGCACGCCUGUUGGAG